GACAGAGGGUGCAAACGUUGUUCGGAAUUACUGGCGUAAAGCGCGUGUAGGCGGCCAACUAAGUCGGGCGUGAAAUCCCACGGCUCAACCCGGGAAGUGCACUCGAACUGGAAGGCUAGAGUAUCGGAGAGGUUGGUGGAAUUCUCGGUGUAGAGGUGAAAUUCGUAGAUAUCGAGAGGAACACCGUGGCGAAGGCGGCCAACUGGACGAAUACUGACGCUGAGACUCGAAAGCGUGGGGGGAGCAA
rnacentral:rRNA from 1 species